rnacentral:rRNA from 1 species
GACGAACGCUGGCGGCGUGCUUAACACAUGCAAGUCGAACGAUUAAGAAGAGCUUGCUCUUCGGAUUAGUGGCGAGCGGGUGAGCAACACGUGACUAACCUGCCCCUUUCUCUGGGAUAACGCCCCGAAAGGAGUGCUAAUACCGGAUACUCACAUCGAGGCACAUGCCAUGAUGUGGAAAGUUUUUCGGAAAGGGAGGGAGUCGCGGCCUAUCAGCUUGUUGGUGAGGUAACGGCUCACCAGGGCGACGACGGGUAGCCGGCCUGAGAGGGCGACCGGCCACACUGGGACUGGGACACGGCCCAGACUCCUACGGGGGGCAGCAGUGGGGAAUAUUGCACAAUGGGCGAAAGCCUGAUGCAGCUACGCCGCAUGAGGGAUGAGGGUCUUCGGAUUGAAAACCUCUUUCAGUAGGGCCGAAGCGAAAGUGACGGUACCUAAAGAAGAAGCACCGGCUAACUACGUGCCAGCCGCCGCAGUAA